rnacentral:misc_RNA from 1 species
GGAAGGAUCAUUAUCGUAAAACCGAGGGCACGACGGCUGUCGCUGACCUUUUAGAAAAAGGUCGUGCACGCCCGAGUGUACUCACACAUCCAUCUCACCCCUUUUGUGAACCACCGCGUAGGCCCCCCUUUCCUUCAAAGGGUGGUUUGCGUUUUUAUACAAAUACUUUUGACGCAGUUAAGAAUGUAUUAUCUUUUUGCGAUCACCCGCAAUUAAUAUAACUUUCAACAACGGAUCUCUUGGCUCUCGCAUCGAUGAAGAACGCAGCGAAAUGCGAUACGUAAUGUGAAUUGCAGAAUUCAGUGAAUCAUCGAAUCUUUGAACGCACCUUGCGCCCCUUGGCAGUCCGAGGGGCACACCCGUUUGAGUGUCGUGAAACCUUCAAAACCCUUUCUUCAGUAGGAAAGGAUUUUGGACUUGGAGGCUUGAUGCUGGCUUUUCACUUUUGAAAGCGAGCUCCUUCUAAAUGGAUUAGUGGGGUCCCGUGUGUUUGAUCCUUGAUGUGAUAAUGAUAUUUCUACAUUUUGGGUCUGGCACUGUUCAUCGGACAUCUGCUUCUAACCGUCUUAUGGACGACGGUGGUGCUCCGGUCACCGCCACUUUGUUGGCGGGGGGGAGGCUUGACCCACGAAGAAACCUUUGACCUCAAAUCGGGUGAGACUACCCGCUGAACUUAAGCAUAUCAAUAAGCGGAGGAAAAGAAACUAACAAGGAUUCCCCUAGUAACUGCGAGUGAAGCGGGAAAAGCUCAAAUUUAAAAUCUGGUGGUCUUUGACCAUCCGAGUUGUAAUUUAGAGAAGCGUCUUCCGCGUCGGACCGUGCACAAGUCUCCUGGAAUGGAGCGUCAUAGAGGGUGAGAAUCCCGUCUUUGGCACGGAUGCACCGAGGCUUUUGUGAUGCGCUCUCGAAGAGUCGAGUUGUUUGGGAAUGCAGCUCAAAAUGGGUGGUGAACUCCAUCUAAAGCUAAAUAUUGGCGAGAGACCGAUAGCGAACAAGUACCGUGAGGGAAAGAUGAAAAGCACUUUGGAAAGAGAGUGAAACAGUACGUGAAAUUGUUGAAAGGGAAACGCUUGAAGUCAGUCGCGUCGCCCGAGACUCAACCUAGCCUUGGCUUGGUGUACUUCUCGGUCGACGGGUCAGCAUCGAUUUUGCGCCUUGGAUAAUGGCGAGGGAAAUGUGACACCUUUACGGGUGUGUUAUAGUCUCUCGUCGCAUGCGAGGGUCGAGAUCGAGGAACUCAGCACGCGCCCUCGGGCGUCGGGGCUUCUGCUCACGAUACGUGCUUAGGAUGUUGGCGUAAUGGCUUUAAACGACCCGUCUUGAAACACGGACCAAGGAGUCUAACAUGCCCGCGAGUGUUCGGGUGGAAAACCCGUGCGCGCAAUGAAAGUGAAAGUUGGGACCUCUGUCGUGGAGGGCACCGACGCCCGGACCAGACCUUCUGUGACGGAUCUGCGGUAGAGCGUGUAUGUUAGGACCCGAAAGAUGGUGAACUAUGCCUGAAUAGGGUGAAGCCAGAGGAAACUCUGGUGGAGGCUCGUAGCGAUUCUGACGUGCAAAUCGAUCGUCAAAUUUGGGUAUAGGGGCGAAAGACUAAUCGAACCAUCUAGUAGCUGGUUCCUGC